rnacentral:rRNA from 1 species
AUACGGAGGAUGCAAGCGUUACUCGGAAUCACCGGGCGUAAAGCGCGCGCAGGCGGCCUGAUAAGUUGGAUGUGAAAGCCUACGGCUCAACCGUAGAACUGCAUCCAAAACUGUCAGGCUAGAGUGUGGGAGAGGAAGAUGGAAUUAGUUGUGUAGGGGUAAAAUCCGUAGAGAUAACUAGGAAUACCAAAAGCGAAGGCAAUCUUCUGGAACACUACUGACGCUGAGGCGCGAAGGCGUGGGGAGCAAACAGGAGUAGAAACCCCAGUAGUCC